rnacentral:rRNA from 1 species
CAUCGCCUCUUGUAACCAUAAGAGGUCCAGCCUGCCCAGUGAUUUUAUUCAACGGCCGCGGUAUUCUAACCGUGCAAAGGUAGCGUAAUCACUUGUUUUCCAAAUAAAGACCAGUAUGAAAGGCAUCACGAGGACAUAGCUGUCUCCUUUCUCCAAUCAGUGAACCUAAUCUCCCCGUGAAGAAGCGGGGAUCCAGUUAUAAGACGAGAAGACCCCGUGGAGCUUAAAACAUCCUAACAACUGCCACCUCUCUUGACCACCCAGGUGUCUCCCAUAGCGGCACCCUGAUUGUAUGUUUUUGGUUGGGGUGACCGCGGAGAAAAAUCCAUCCUCCACAAUGAAGGGGGCUUCCCCCUAAACAAUAAGUUACAGCUUUAUGUAUCAAAAAAUUGACAUUCAUUGACCCAAUAAAUUGACCAACGAACCAAGUUACCCCGGGGAUAACAGCACAAUCCACUUCAAGAGCCCCUAUCGACAAGUGGGCUUAUGACCUCGAUGUUGGAUCAGGAUAUCCUAGUGGUGCAGCCGCUACUAAAGGUUCGUUUGUUCAACGAUUAAAAUCCU